rnacentral:misc_RNA from 1 species
CGCACAUUGCGCCCGCCAGCAUUCUGGCGGGCAUGCCUGUUCGAGCGUCAUUUCAACCCUCGACGUCCCCUGGGGACGUCGGCCUUGGGGACCGGCAGCACACCGCCGGCCCUGAAAUCGAGUGGCGGCCCGUCCGCGGCGACCUCUGCGCAGUACUCCAGCUCGCACCGGGAACCCGACGCGGCCACGCCGUAAAACACCCAACUCUGAACGUUGACCUCGGAUCAGGUAGGACUACCCGCUGAACUUAA